AAUAGAUACCCCGGUAGUCCACGCCGUAAACGAUGAGUGCUAAGUGUUGGAGGGUUUCCGCCCUUCAGUGCUGCAGCUAACGCAUUGAGCACUCCGCCUGGGGAGUACGGUCGCAAGACUGAAACUCAAAGGAAUUGACGGGGGCCCGCACAAGCGGUGGAGCAUGUGGUUUAAUUCGAAGCAACGCGAAGAACCUUACCAGGUCUUGACAUCUCCUGACCGCCCUGGAGACAGGGUCUUCCCUUCGGGGACAGGAUGACAGGUGGUGCAUGGUUGUCGUCAGCUCGUGUCGUGAGAUGUUGGGUUAAGUCCCGCAACGAGCGCAACCCUUGGUUCUAGUUGCCAGCAUUCAGUUGGGGCACUCUAGAGCGACUGCCGGCGACAAGUCGGAGGAAGGUGGGGAUGACGUCAAAUCAUCAUGCCCCUUAUGACCUGGGCUACACACGUGCUACAAUGGAUGGUACAAAGGGCAGCGAAGCGGCGACGCAUGAGCGAAUCCCAGAAAACCAUUCUCAGUUC
rnacentral:rRNA from 1 species